CAGUAGCCGCGGUAAUACGAAGGGUGCAAGCGUUACUCGGAAUUACUGGGCGUAAAGCGUGCGUAGGUGGUGGUUUAAGUCCGUUGUGAAAGCCCUGGGCUCAACCUGGGAAUUGCAGUGGAUACUGGGUCACUAGAGUGUGGUAGAGGAUAGUGGAAUUUCCGGUGUAGCAGUGAAAUGCGUAGAGAUCGGAAGGAACAUCUGUGGCGAAGGCGACUAUCUGGGCCAACACUGACACUGAGGCACGAAAGCGUGGGGAGCAAACAGGAUUAGAUACCCCGGUAGUCCUGUCUCUUAUACA
rnacentral:rRNA from 1 species